AGACUAACUUGGUUUGGAGAAAAUUGGGAGAUUUUAUUAACUGGUUGAAGCCAGAAAGCCCCAAGGGAAACAAGCAAUAAGAGCCCUCCCUCACUUUGCUACAACAUUACAAGCAUCUUUCAGAAGUGCAGGUCAUCAGCAAUUCAUAGAGAAGUUCUAACCACAAUCAAGCUGUAAGGACACUUGUGAGAAGCUUUUCCAUCCGAGAAACACAAACAGUUCCAUCGAUCUUACUAACACCCUAGAGGGAGCGAAGUGGGAUGAUCUGUCACUACACCUGCAGCACCACGCUCGGAGGACAGCUCCUGCUCGCAGCUUCCAGACUCAGGUAAAAAAAAAAAAAAAAAAAAAAAAAAAAAUUGUGAGCGGGCGCCGUGCAUGCAUUUCAAUACCAGAUGCGCGUCGCAACCUAGCCCCUGUAGAGGCAAUCUGCUGCUGCUGCUGCUGCUAAGUGUCCUUUGGUGGCUGGUUGCAGCUUCAAGGUUUAAGAAAUCCCAUCUUUCAGGAAGCCUGAGGGGAAGGAAGGAAGUACGGGCGAAAUCAUCAGAUUGGCUUCCCAGAUUUGGGGAUCUGAAGCGGGCCCACGUCUUCCGGCCAACUUCCAUUGAACUUCCAGCACUCGAAAGGGACCGAAAUGGAGAGCAAAGAAAAAGCAUAUGCUGGCUUUUUAGCUGAAACAAACCCCAUCACCAGUGAAUCAGAGGAUGCAGAUAAGUGAAAACUGCUAUUAGCCUGAGAAGCAGUGGCAAAGCGAUUACUCUGUAGAAAAACAACAACAACAACAACAACAAAACACCCAGAAGCUUUCAGAGGCCAUUCAGAAGAUAACUAAACCCAGCAAAAAUUCCCUUAACCAGAAGUCAGGAGGAUGCAGCAAUGCCAAUCUGCCAAUAAUGUGUCCAUCUCUCCUUACCCCAUUCAUUCCUACAGUUAUCACCCAUGUGAAACAAUUGGGUUUUUCUUCAAUCCUCAAAUACUGAUAAUGUUCAAAUUGGUCGAGCAAAUCUUACACAUUAAUUGGGACAUUCCUUUUCAACUUUUUGGAAACCAAAAACCUAGAUAUGUUUCUGACUUCCAAAAAAAAAAUGACAUAAUUAUUCUGAUUGUUAAAAUCUGCU
rnacentral:lncRNA from 1 species